rnacentral:rRNA from 1 species
GUGUCAGCAGCCGCGGUAAGACGAACCACACAAACGUUAUUCGGAAUUACUGGGCUUAAAGGGUGCGUAGGCUGUGCAGAAAGUUAGGUGUGAAAUCCCCCGGCUCAACCGGGGAAUUGCGCUUAAAACUACUGUGCUAGAGGAAGACAGAGGUGAGCGGAACUUCGGGUGGAGCGGUGAAAUGCGUUGAUAUCCGAAGGAACACCGGUGGCGAAAGCGGCUCACUGGGUCUUUUCUGACGCUGAUGCACGAAAGCUAGGGGAGCAAACGGGAUUAGAAACCCCCGUAGUCC